GACAGAGGGGGGCAAGCGUUGCUCGGAAUUACUGGGCGUAAAGGGCGCGUAGGCGGGAUGGCAAGUCGGUCGUGAAAUCCUUCGGCUCAACCGAAGAACGUCGAUCGAUACUGCUGUUCUUGAGGGUUGCAGAGGGGACUGGAAUUCCCGGUGUAGCGGUGAAAUGUGUAGAGAUCGGGAGGAACACCGGUGGCGAAGGCGGGGUCUCUGGGCAAUUCCUGACGCUGAGGCG
rnacentral:rRNA from 1 species